rnacentral:rRNA from 1 species
CCUCCUUUGUUCCUCCUUUUUUCCUCUUUCCCCCUUUUUUCCCCCCUUCUCCAGCUACUCCUCGUGAGUGAAGAAGUAAUUCGUUAUGUAAAGCUCUAUCAGCAGGGAAGAAAAUGACGGUACCUGAGUAAGAAGCCCCGGCUAACUACGUGCCAGCAGCCGCGGUAAUACGUAGGGGGUAAGCGUUAUCCGGAUUUACUGGGUGUAAAGGGAGCGUAGACGGCAGUGCAAGUCUGGAGUGAAAGGCGGGGGCUCAACCCCCGGACUGCUCUGGAAACUGUACGGCUGGAGUGCAGGAGGGGUAAGUGGAAUUCCUAGUGUAGCGGUGGAAUGCGUAGAUAUUAGGAGGAACACCAGUGGCGAAGGCGGCUUACUGGACUGUAACUGACGUUGAGGCUCGAAAGCGUGGGGAGCAAACAGGAUUAGAUACCCUUGUAGUC